AUGAACAACCAGGCGAGGGCCCCACCCCGCACCUCGGCCCGGGUCUUGGCCUGGGUCCGGGCUUCGACCCCCGUCAGGACCUCGAUCCCUGUCCGGACCCCAACGCCUGCCCGGGCCUCCUCCACUCCUGCCCGGACCCCACAUCCCGCCCAGAUUCCGACCUCGGUCCGGACCCUGAAUCCUGUCCUGAUUCCGACCUCCUCCCGGGCUCCGACUUCCGUCCAGACCCCAGCUCCGGCCAGGACCCCGAAUCCCGUCCAGAUGACCAGCCCGGCCCAAACUCCGACUCCCAUGCCAACUCUGGCUCGGACUCCGACUCCCGUCCAGACCUCAACCUCGGCCCGAAUCCCGAAUCCGGUCCAGACGCCGACCCCGGCUGGAGGCCCGACUCCCAUCCCGACUUUGGCCCGGACCCUGACUCCCGUCCAGACCCCGGCCUCGGCGUGGACCCCGAAUCCGGUCCAGAUGCUGACCCCACCCCGAGCCCCAGUUCCUGUCCCAACCCAGCCCCGGACCCCGACUCCCAUUCAGACCUACGCCCGGACCCCAACUCCCGUCCAGACUCCGAAUCCCAUCCAGAUGCCGACCCCGCCCCGAACCCCAACUUCUGGCCCGACCCUGGCCCGGCCCCCGGCCCCCCUUCCGACCUCCGCCCGGACCCCGACUCCCGUCCCGACCCUGGCCCGGCCCCCGGCCCCCCUUCCGACCCCGCCCCGAACCCCGACUCCCGUCCCGACCCUGGCCCGGCCCCCGGCCCCCCUUCCGACCUCCGCCCGGACCCCGACUCCCGUCCCGACCCCGACCCCGCUCGCAAUCCGGACUGCCGUCCGAACUCCAACCCGGAUCCGGACCCCGACUCCCCUGCAGAUGCCGACCCAGGUCCGGGCCCCCAUUCCGGCCCGGACGCCUACUCAGAUCUGGACCCCGACUCCGGCCCGGACCCCAACCCCAAUUUCAUCCCCGGGGGAGGUCGAGGCCGCGGCCGCGGCCCCUGCCUCGGAAUCCUUCGGGAGCUCGGCCCUGCCCCUGGAACCGCCCCCAGAACCUGCCUCGGAGCCCACGACGGCCUCGCCCCACCAGGAUCUUUCGCCCACGCCGAGCGUGAAGCCCCUCCCAUCGGUCACAAAUGGGUUCGGGUCCACCCAAGAGCCCCUUCCUGACCUCACUCCACCGGCCACUGAUUUCCUGGGGCCCACCCUUGGGUCCACCUCGAGGGCAGACUCCUCGGCCACCAAGUUGACCGAUUCCACCUCGGAAUCCGUUCGGGUGCCCAUCCCGGGGACCGACCCCUUCGCGGCCACCGCCUUAGCCACGUCCACCAACACCUUCGCCCCCGUCGGCGAGAGCUGCUCGGUGGACAAGAUCGCGGUCCGAGUGAUCUACUGGUGA
rnacentral:lncRNA from 1 species